UACGGAGGAUGCAAGCGUUAUCCGGAAUGAUUGGGCGUAAAGCGUCCGCAGGUGGCUGUGUAAGUCUGCUGUUAAAGAGUGAGGCUCAACCUCAUAAAAGCAGUGGAAACUACACGGCUAGAGUGCGUUCGGGGCAGAGGGAAUUCCUGGUGUAGCGGUGAAAUGCGUAGAUAUCAGGAGGAACACCGGUGGCGAAGGCGGGACCCUGGGCCAUUGCUGACACUGAGGGACGAAAGCUAGGGGAGCGAAUGGG
rnacentral:rRNA from 1 species